ACCGCCCCAUUCGACUUCCCCCGAUUCCUUGAUCUCAUGGCCAAACACAUGAAACCCGAACCCUUCGAUCGCCAACUCCGUGACGCCUUCAAGGUCCUCGACAAGGAUUCCACCGGCUUCGUCUCCGUUUCGGAGCUCCGACACAUCCUCACCAACAUCGGCGAGAAGNUGGAGCCCUCCGAGUUCGACGAGUGGAUCAGGGAAGUCGACGUCGGCUCCGAUGGCAAGAUCCGCUACGAGGAUUUCAUUGCCAGAAUGGUCGCUAAGUAGUAGGAAUCUCUUUUAAUUGUUCUUCUCUCUUUUCUCCGUUGUUUCAGUAUUACUGCUUUUCUGUUUACUCUGUCGUGUUUGCUUUUGAGUGGACCGUCGAUUAACCCUGCUGUGCUUAUUUUUAUCGUUUGUGGCUAACCGAGGGUUGUUUUAGGAAACUAUGGCUACUCAAUUUAAUUUGCCCGAUUUGGUUUG
rnacentral:lncRNA from 1 species